CCUCCCACAAUGGACGAA
rnacentral:snRNA from 1 species